rfam:Brassica napus, WGS project CCCW01000000 data, contig: 6807
GGAUCCUUGGUGCAAUGGUAGCGCGUCUGACUCCAGAUCAGAAGGUUGCGUGUUCCAUCCACGUCGGGUUCA